rnacentral:ncRNA from 1 species
AACCACCUUUUCUUGGGGCAGCGCUACUGUCCGAUGAACGAGCAGAGGGCAGUGCUGCUAACGCCUACACAACACGCCCGCAUCAACUAGAGCUUUGCUUUACUUUGGUGCAAUUUUUGGAAAA